UACGUAGGUGGCAAGCGUUGUCCGGAUUUACUGGGCGUAAAGAGCGCGCAGGCGGCUGGGCAAGUCCGAUGUGAAAGCCCCCGGCUCAACUGGGGAGGGUCACGCGAUACUGAUCGACUCGAAGGCAGGAGAGGGUAGUGGAAUUCCCGGUGUAGUGGUGAAAUGCGUAGAUAUCGGGAGGAACACCAGUGGCGAAGGCGGUUACCUGGAGCUUUGCUGACGCUGAUGCGCGAAAGCGUGGGGAGCGAUCCGG
rnacentral:rRNA from 1 species